CAGACGACGCGGCGGCGUGCUAUACUGCAAGUCGAGCGGACAGAAGGGAGCUUGCUCCCGGAUGUAGCGGCGGACGGGUGAGUAACACGUGGGUAACUGCCUGUAAGACUGGGAUAACUCCGGGAAACCGGAGCUAAUACCGGAUAGUUCCCUGAACCGCAUGGUUCAAGGAUGAAAGACGGUUUCGGCUGUCACUUACAGAUGGACCGCGGCGCAUAGCUAGUUGGUGGGGUAAUGGCUCACCAAGGCGACGAUGCGUAGCCGACCUGAGAGGGUGAUCGGCCACACUGGGACUGAGACACGGCCCAGACUCCUACGGGAGGCAGCAGUAGGGAAUCUUCCGCAAUGGACGAAAGUCUGACGGAGCAACGCCGCGUGAGUGAUGAAGGUUUUCGGAUCGUAAAGCUCUGUUGUUAGGGAAGAACAAGUGCGAGAGUAACUGCUCGCACCUUGACGGUACCUAACCAGAAAGCCACGGCUAACUACGUGCCAGCAGCCGCGGUAAUACGUAGGUGGCAAGCGUUGUCCGGAAUUAUUGGGCGUAAAGGGCUCGCAGGCGGUUUCUUAAGUCUGAUGUGAAAGCCCCCGGCUCAACCGGGGAGGGUCAUUGGAAACUGGGAAACUUGAGUGCAGAAGAGGAGAGUGGAAUUCCACGUGUAGCGGUGAAAUGCGUAGAGAUGUGGAGGAACACCAGUGGCGAAGGCGACUCUCUGGUCUGUAACUGACGCUGAGGAGCGAAAGCGUGGGGAGCGAACAGGAUUAGAUACCCUGGUAGUCCACGCCGUAAACGAUGAGUGCUAAGUGUUAGGGGGUUUCCGCCCCUUAGUGCUGCAGCUAACGCAUUAAGCACUCCGCCUGGGGAGUACGGUCGCAAGACUGAAACUCAAAGGAAUUGACGGGGGCCCGCACAAGCGGUGGAGCAUGUGGUUUAAUUCGAAGCAACGCGAAGAACCUUACCAGGUCUUGACAUCCUCUGACAACCCUAGAGAUAGGGCUUUCCCUUCGGGGACAGAGUGACAG
rnacentral:rRNA from 1 species